GGCUGAAAAGCUCAGUGGUAAAAGCAAUCGCCCGGCAAGCGAAAGACUCGGGUUCGAUUCCCGAUUCAGCGA
rnacentral:tRNA from 1 species